CAGCCGCCGCGGUAAUACAGAGGGUGCAAGCGUUAAUCGGAAUUACUGGGCGUAAAGCGUGCGUAGGUGGUGGUUUAAGUCCGUUGUGAAAGCCCUGGGCUCAACCUGGGAAUUGCAGUGGAUACUGGGUCACUAGAGUGUGGUAGAGGAUAGUGGAAUUUCCGGUGUAGCAGUGAAAUGCGUAGAGAUCGGAAGGAACAUCUGUGGCGAAGGCGACUAUCUGGGCCAACACUGACACUGAGGCACGAAAGCGUGGGGAGCAAACAGGAUUAGAUACCCGGGUAGUCCCUGUCUCUUAUAC
rnacentral:rRNA from 1 species